UACGAAGGGGGCGAGCGUUGUUCGGAAUUACUGGGCGUAAAGGGCGCGUAGGCGGCCCCUUUUGUCGCGUGUGAAAGCCCCGGGCUCAACCUGGGAACCGCGCUUGAGACUGGCACGCUCGAGUUCGGGAGAGGAUGGUGGAAUUCCCAGUGUAGAGGUGAAAUUCGUAGAUAUUGGGAAGAACACCGAUGGCGAAGGCAGCCAUCUGGACCGACACUGACGCUGAGGCGCGAAAGCGUGGGGAGCAAACAGG
rnacentral:rRNA from 1 species